UACGUAGGUGACAAGCGUUGUCCGGAUUUACUGGGCGUAAAGAGCGCGCAGGCGGUCGUUCAAGUCGAGUGUGAAAGCCCCCGGCUCAACUGGGGAGGGUCACUCGAUACUGAUCGACUCGAAGGCAGGAGAGGGAAGUGGAAUCCCCGGUGUAGUGGUGAAAUGCGUAGAGAUGUGGAGGAACACCAGUGGCGAAGGCGGCUUUCUGGUCUGUAACUGACGCUGAGGCGCGAAAGCGUGGGGAGCAAACAGG
rnacentral:rRNA from 1 species